GACGAACGCUGGCGGCGUGCCUAAUACAUGCAAGUAGAACGCUGAAGGAGGAGCUUGCUCUUCUGGAUGAGUUGCGAACGGGUGAGUAACGCGUAGGUAACCUGCCUGGUAGCGGGGGAUAACUAUUGGAAACGAUAGCUAAUACCGCAUAACAGUAGAUGUUGCAUGACAUUUACUUAAAAGGUGCAAUUGCAUCACUACCAGAUGGACCUGCGUUGUAUUAGCUAGUUGGUGGGGUAACGGCUCACCAAGGCGACGAUACAUAGCCGACCUGAGAGGGGGAUCGGCCCACCUGGGACUGGGACACGGCCCAGACUCCUACGGGAGGCAGCAGUAGGGAAUCUUCGGCAAUGGACGGAAGUCUGACCGAGCAACGCCGCGUGAGUGAAGAAGGUUUUCGGAUCGUAAAGCUCUGUUGUAAGAGAAGAACGAGUGUGAGAGUGGAAAGUUCACACUGUGACGGUAUCUUACCAGAAAGGGACGGCUAACUACGUG
rnacentral:rRNA from 1 species